rnacentral:rRNA from 1 species
CACGUAGGGGCCAAGCGUUGUCCGGAUUUAUUGGGCGUAAAGAGCUCGUAGGCGGUUCGACAAGUCGGGUGUGAAAACUCCGGGCUCAACCCGGAGACGCCACCCGAUACUGUCGUGACUGGAGUCCGGUAGGGGAGUGGGGAAUUCCUGGUGUAGCGGUGAAAUGCGCAGAUAUCAGGAGGAACACCGGUGGCGAAGGCGCCACUCCGGGCCGGUACUGACGCUGAGGAGCGAAAGCGUGGGGAGCAAACAGG